UUGCGCACCAGCAGACCCCUCUCUCCCACCUUCCCCUCGCUGCGCGCACGCCAGAGCGCCGCCGCCAUUAACCAUCGCCGCCCGAGCUCGUUUCCCGGCCGCCGUUGGAGCUCCGCCGUGUCCGUUGCCACGGUGAGCUUCGCCCCGGCGUCCGCAACCCGGGACGCGCCCCAAUUCCCUCUCCCCCUCCCUAUUUCUCUCUGCCCGCGCUCACCCGCCGUUCCCCGUGCAGCCGCGGAGGUCCGCCACCGUCGCCCCGGGCCACCGUCGCGCCCUCGCCGCCGCCGAGAAGUCCCCGGAGCCCGCCUUGAGGCCGCCGCCGAGCCGCUCCGCCGUGAACCGCCCCCCUCCGGUGCCCUUGCCCCGACCCAGACCCCACCAGAGGAUUCCCCGUGCCCUCCCCAACCUUCCCGGCCACUCAGGUCGCCCCAGAGACCCGCCAAGCGCCCGCGCCCCUCGUCUCCGGCGAGUCCUCCGCCGCGGGGACGAGCGCCGCCGCCCCAGCUAGCCGUAGGAGAAGCCCAAGCCGGCCUCCCCAUCCCCGCCGUCCAUCUCAGAUCGGAUGGCCCUAAUCUAAAUAGCUCGCGCCCAAUCCCGGCCGCUUACCGGAGAUCCGACGGCCCAGGGCCGCUUUCCCCAAAUCCCGCCUCCCUGCCAGUUGGGCCCCGCCUGUCAGCCCGCCGCCCCGCGCUGUCCGCCCGGCCCCGCCUUUCUGAGUCGGUUGUUCGACGCCCGGGGAAGGCCCCCGAGGGGGCCGUUCCCGGUCCGUCCCCCGGCCGGCACGCGGUGGUCCGCUCUCGCCGCGCGAGCAGCUCGAGCAUUCCGCCAGCAGCCGACGGGUUCGGGGCCGGGACCCCCGAGCCCAACCCUCAGAGCCAAUCCUUUUCCCGAAGUUACGGAUCCGUUUUGCCGACUUCCCUUGCCUACAUUGUUCCAUUGGCCAGAGGCUGUUCACCUUGGAGACCUGAUGUGGUUAUGAGUACGACCGGGCGUGGACGGUAUUCGGUCCUCCGGAUUUUCAAGGGCCGCCGGGGGCGCACCAGACACCGCGCGAUGUGCGGUGCUCUUCCGGCCGCUGGACCCUACCUCCGGCUGAACCGAUUCCAGGGUUGGCGGGCCGUUAAGCAGAAAAGAUAA
rnacentral:misc_RNA from 1 species